GACGAACGCUGGCGGCGUGCUUAACACAUGCAAGUCGCACGGGACCCGCAAGGGUUCAGUGGCAAACGGGUGCGUAACACGUGAGGAACCUGUCCAACGGUGGGGGAUAGCCGGCCCAACGGCCGGGUAAUACCGCGUACGACCUUCGGGGGGCAUCCCCCGGGGGUGAAAGCAGCAAUGCGCCGAUGGAGGGCCUCGCGGCCUAUCAGCUAGUUGGUGAGGUCAUGGCUCACCAAGGCAACGACGGGUAGCUGGUCCGAGAGGAUGACCAGCCACAUUGGGACUGAGACACGGCCCAGACUCCUACGGGAGGCAGCAGUGGGGAAUCUUGCGCAAUGGGCGAAAGCCUGACGCAGCGACGCCGCGUGUGGGAUGAAGGUCUUCGGAUUGUAAACCACUGUCGGGAGGGACGAAGCUCUGACGGUACCUCCAAAGGAAGCACCGGCUAACUCUGUGCCAGCCGCCGCCGUAACAC
rnacentral:rRNA from 1 species